GCAAUUACGGAACUUUGUGGCACCUUAACGCCACUUCCCCUUCUUCUUCUGCUCCGGCGGCCGGCGUCGCUUCCCCUGCCUCCUCCGAAUGCCCCCCACGCCUCCCCCACCUCCUCCUCCGCCCCGGCCCCUCUCUUCGAGCGCAGGUGCCCCGCCGCCUUCGAUGCUGUCGUCGGCCCCGCCUUACCCGUGUGAUGUAAGGUAACGUCUGUUCGACGGUCCAAACCUCCCUUCACGCAGUCCGUGCUCUUCUUCCCUGACUUCCACCGCCUCUCCAAUCCCUUUCCACCCUCAUAACCUCCGCGCAAUCAAUUCCGCCGACGAGCGCUCGCCUCCCAGAUCUCCUCGUCCAGCGCAAGGACUGGAUCCCUCUCCACCGAUCUAAACCCUGCCUCCUCUCCCCCGAUCUCUUCCUCCAAGUCCUCUCCUUAACCCAGCCCUACCCCGAGAUCUCCCUCCACUUCUUUAAUUCGGCCAAUUCCAAGCUAGGGCUGCUCCCUGACCUCCGCUCCCUCUCCAGGAUGGUCCAAAUCGUCGUCGAGUCCGACUUCCUCGACCCCGCGAAGCACAUUUUCUAUUCGGUCAUUCGAUCCGAGCCGGCGCCGGCGGUGAUCGGUUCGAUUCUCCGCGCCUCCACCUGUUCUAAGUUUCGUUCUUGAAUCUUAUGCUUGUCUGCAUCAAUUGCCAGUUGCUUGGAGACUUUUAGAAACAAUUAGGGUUUUGGAGUGUCAGCUGUCGGCCACCAGCUGCAAUGCGCUGCUUGAUGCAUUGUGCUCGGACGAUAGGACCGGGACGGCAGGGUGUUUCGACGCUGCCGUCGUCAGGACUGGGAGUUUGCCGGAUUCCAAUCCGUGGACGCGACUUCUUAUACUGCACCUCUUGGGGCACUUUUCAAGAAAAGGAGGGUUGAAGAAGGCCAUGAAUCUGUUGAGAUGCUGAGGUUGGGGCUUAAACUUGAUGAUGGCCACUUUCUGGAUUUGUGCAAUAAAAAGUUUCAUUAUUUAAGUUCCAUUCAUGAAUCAAGUAUGAGUGGCAUGUUGCAGGGACAUCAUUUUUGGAUUUUCAACAUUUGCUGGUUUCUUAUUCUGGGUAUUUGUAUUUAGGUUGGAUUAAAGUGCAGGUGGGAGAAACUUUUCUGCAAUCCACAGACUUCGAAUCAUGUUCACUGAUUAGAACUGACGUGUGCAUUACCUCUUCUGCCAACCAUCAUAUCCAACUCAGCACUUUGAAAGGGACCAGGCAAAUGUCUGAACUUGAACUCCUGGCUGGCAUUAAGGUUGUAGCCAUUUAUUUCAAGAACUAGAGGAAUCUGUGCUUUGGAAUGAAAAUUAUUAAGUUCUAUCUAGCUACAAAAUGAAUUCGAUGACAUAUAGCAAGGUCAUGAAGGUUUGCUUUCUUUCA